GUGAGGUUGUUAAUGUGUUGAAAUAUUAGGGUUAGGAAUUGUGUGAUCUAUAUACUGUAAUAUAUUGAACCAGAAUAAAUAGGAUGUCCUACUCCUAGUGCACACCGCUUCUUGCUAUGUGGGUUCUGGGGAAGACUAGAUAUGUGCAUAUAUCCAUGCACUUUACAGGUUGAUACUAUGAUUUACCCAGUCCCAUUUUGCCCCUUUACCACUUGGAUUUAGAUCGCUUGAUUUAAGUCAUUUGAAAC
rnacentral:misc_RNA from 1 species